AUGGAAAUUCUCAAUGACUGUUCUGAUGUGGAUGAGAUCAAAUUCCAAGAAGAUGGUUCUUGGUGUCCAGUGAGACCUAAGAAAGAAGCUAUGAAAGUAUCCAGCCAACCAUGUACAAAAAUAGAAAGGUCAGGUGUCCUCAGUAAGCCUUGUUCAGUUACUGUAGCUGGUGAGGUAAGCAAGAAGAAAGUGGAUGUUAUCGACCUAACAACAGAAAGCGCUUCUGAUGAAGAGGAAGACCCUCCUGCAAGUGCAUCUUUAUGUCAGAAACACAAAGCAGCCCAACCAAAGGACUACUCAGUGCCAUUCUGCCACACCCCAAUAUCAAGCAUAUCAUCAGAUUUGCCAGGAGAGCAAAGAAGAAAUGCUAUUAAUAAUGAAAUGAAGCUUGGAACAUCUUAUACUGUGCAACAGUGAAUACAAAAUAAAACAUAUAAUUUGUAAAAAAAAAAAAAAAAAGAAUGGAGACAAUUAUUGAAGAAAAACAAUCUUACAUUAAGAAUGGCUACCUAGGGCCAGGGAUGUAGCUCAGCGGCACUGCUCCGGCCUGGCAAGCGAAAGAUCCUGAGUUUGAUUCCAAUACCAGAAAAAAAAAAAAGAAGUGGCUACCUCAUGUAAUCCCAGUACUCUGGGAAGCUGAGGCAGGAGGAAUAAAGUUUAAGCCCAGCCUGGGUAAUCUAGUGAGACUCUGUCUCAAAAAAUUUUAAAAGGGCUGGGGAUGUAACUCAGGGCAAAAGCUCUGGAUUCAAUCCCCAUUCAAAAAAAAAAAAAAAAAAGCCACGUGUGAUGGUGUAUGCCUAUAAUCCCAGCUAAGUGGGAGGCUGAGGCAGAAGACUGACAAGUUUGAGGCUAGCCUGGGCAGACUGGCAAGACACUAUCUAGUAAUUAAAAACAAAACAAAUAGAAAACCGACGUGGCAUCUCUAGUCACUACAGAAAUGCAAUAAAACCACAAUGAGAUGGCACUGCACACUAGAAUGGCUAUACUCUAAAAAGCAAAUUUAAACAUGUUGGUAAGAUAUGGAGAAAUAGGAACAUUCAUACAUUACUGGUGGGGAUAUAAAAUGGUGCAGCCAUUUAGAAAAAUGGUUUGUUGGUUCUUCAAAAUGCUAAACAAAAAUCUAUUCUAUGACAAGUAAAUAAAAACACACACACAAAUGUUCAUAGC
rnacentral:lncRNA from 1 species